rnacentral:lncRNA from 1 species
GGGAGAAGUUCCUUUUUCUUGAAAUAGCUAAUGUGAAAUUUCUGAUCACAGAGAGACAUAUCUCUCUGUCUUCUGCAGUUGUAUUCACUAUCCGUGCAAGCUGAAAUAAUUUUUCUUAUCUGAACUAGCAAGAAAUAAAGUCAUAUAUGAAAUCUUUGUCUAUCAGGAAGCUUCUUCCAUCACUUUCUAAGUGACAUGAACUUUUAUAACUGCUAGUCCAAUUUUUACCUGCCUGUAGAGGGCCGGCUUUGGGGAGUUGGAGGGCUUAGGCCAGCCCGGGUCUUACCUGCAGCUUGUACUAAGCCUGACAGCUGUGAAACUCAGGAUGUCGGCUCACCCACCCCCCUGUUCUGUCUCUUGAGAACAGGAUGUAGGAAGGGAGGAAAGGAUGGGGUACAGGACAGGACGCAGGAAAGAAUGUAACAGACAAGGUACAAGGAAGUAAGGAAAUCACCUAAUUAGAUUUGUACUUUUCAUGAAUAACAAUGUUACUAUUGCUUGAUCCAGUACUAUAUAAGCCUGAGCCCUCAGAUCAAUAAACAGAGUUUGAUCUUCACUGCUCUCACCUGGCCCGUGAUUCUUUCUCUCUUCACACUCUGCCAGCAUCAUACGGCAGCCGGGGACGCAGGCGCUCCCGGCAUUUGGCACUUGGACAGGGACCUGAAAGGAAGGCUUCCCCCGGCAGAGUGGCCCUGGACAAGGUGGGCUGUUUGGCCAACAGCCCUAGAAAAGGAGCUCCGUUCGUCAAGAGAAGACGCUAACAAGAACAUGCAGGAGAACCAGUCUGGGUUCCCGAGAGGAACAUCCGUACCUGUCAGCAUACUGACCGGAGGGAUAGAGACCCUGAGCAUCAAAGGAAAAACUGUUCGGAGAGACAUGCAGAGGAGGAAGGCGAGACUGAGAAGAUGAAGAGCCAAUAAUAAGAUGUUGACUGUCCUUUUUUGCAAUGAUGACUGUCACAGAUGGCUCCAUGAUGGAGUCAUGAUUACAUUGGACUUAUAUGCCUUACCCCACCUUGGGUUAAACCUGUAACUUGAUCACUAUACUUUUGUUUGUGUAACUCCCCAUUUGCUUUCUAAUACUACCAAUGUAACUUCUGAUCAAAUAUUGAAUAAGCUUCAGGGCGCUUGGC